UAUAAUAUGGCCAGGCGUGGUGUCUCACGCCUGUAAUCCCAGCACUUUGGCAGGUCGAGGCAGGUGGAUCACCAGGUCAGGAGAUUGAGACUAUCCUGGCUAACAGAAAUAUCAAGGUGAUAUUAAUGGUUUGUAUUUCCCUUUUCUGUAGAAGAUUUGUAAGAAGAGUCUUUUCAGGUCCCCAAAGGUAAACUUUAGGAUUAAAUUAUACGGUUUUAAGAAAUUAUCACUAAAUCUUUCCCCCACUUUUUUUAACCCUUAAAAAUUUUUGUUUGAAACAGGGUCUCACUCUGUUGUUCAGGCUGCAGUGCAGUGGCAAGAUCAUGGCUCACUGCAGACUUGACCUCCUGGGCUCAAGCUGUCCUGCCUCAGCCUCUCAGGUAGCUGGGACUAUAGGUGUGCACUACUAUACACGGCUAAUUUAUUUCAUCGUAUUUUUUGUAGAGACAUGGUCUCACUAUGUUGCCCAGGCUAGUUUUGGGUUCCUGGGCUCAAGCAAUCAUCCUGCCUUGGGCUCCCAAAGUUCUGAGAUUACAGGUGUGAGCCAUUGCACCCAGCCCUUAGAAUCUUCAUAUUUUUGUUUAAUUUGUUCUUUAUAGAGUAGUUUUCACUACAGGGAUGUUACUUGGUAAAUUAAAUUCUAUCAUUUCAAUUAACAACCCAAGAAAAAUAUAUGUAUAAUGAUAAACUUUGAGGAAAAAGAGAAAUAACUGCAAAAAAAAUGAAUUGGCAUGCAGUUAAACUUUGCUUAUCCCUUAAAUUUUGUUCCUGCUUAUAGAUUUUUAGUAGUUCAUACAAAGUCUUCUUUUAAAAUUUUAAAAGUCUCAAAACUACUAAAACAGGAUAUUAUUUUAGUGGAAAAUAGCCAUAUGGUUUCUGGGAAGGAUUUUACUAAAGGAAUAAAUUUAAUUAGAAGCAGGAAAGAUUUGGUUACAUACAACAAAAGCCAACAAAAUAUGCUCAACCCCAAGGGUAAGUGUAACUGCUGGCUAGAGAUUUUCAGGAGAGGACAGGGAGUAGUUUUCCUAGAAUAUUUUAUGUCCUAAAUAGCCUGGAUGGAGUCCCUUAUUCCCUUCCAGACUCAUCACUGGGAAUGCGGCACACUGGUGGGCUAUAAUUCCCUGGAGAGCUUAUGAAAUAAAAAUCAGGUGAGCUACGAGUGCAGCCAGAAACUUGCUUUACCCCCAAGUCCUGACCCUGAAACUUAAUUUUUGUGACUUGAAUUGUGUCUCUCUGUUUAAAAUUUAUUUAUUUAGAGAUGAGGUCUCACUCCAUCACCCAGGCUGGAGUGCAGUGGUGCAA
rnacentral:lncRNA from 1 species